rnacentral:rRNA from 1 species
GACGAACGCUGGCGGCGCGCCUAACACAUGCAAGUCGAACGGAGAGUAUUUAGCUUGCUAGGUACUCUUAGUGGCGGACGGGUGAGUAACACGUGAGCAAUCUGCCUCUGUGAGGGGGAUAACGUCUGGAAACGGACGCUAAUACCGCAUAACAUGUAUUAAUCGCAUGAUUGAUACAUCAAAGAUUUAUCGCACAGAGAUGAGCUCGCGGCUGAUUAGCUAGUUGGCGGGGUAAAUGCCCACCAAGGCGACGAUCAGUAGCCGGACUGAGAGGUUGAACGGCCACAUUGGGACUGAGACACGGCCCAG